rnacentral:rRNA from 1 species
UACGAAGGGUGCAAGCGUUACUCGGAAUUACUGGGCGUAAAGCGUGCGUAGGUGGUUCGUUAAGUCUGAUGUGAAAGCCCUGGGCUCAACCUGGGAAUGGCAUUGGAAACUGGCGACCUAGAGUGCGGUAGAGGGUAGUGGAAUUCCCGGUGUAGCAGUGAAAUGCGUAGAGAUCGGGAGGAACAUCCGUGGCGAAGGCGGAUCUCUGGGCCUUACCUGACGCUGAGGCGCGAAAGCUAGGGGAGCGAACAGG